rnacentral:rRNA from 1 species
GACGAACGCUGGCGGUGUGCUUAACACAUGCAAGUCGAACGGAAAGGCCCUGCUUUUGUGGGGUGCUCGAGUGGCGAACGGGUGAGUAACACGUGAGUAACCUGCCCUUGACUUUGGGAUAACUUCAGGAAACUGGGGCUAAUACCGGAUAGGAGCUCCUGCUGCAUGGUGGGGGUUGGAAAGUUUCGGCGGUUGGGGAUGGACUCGCGGCUUAUCAGCUUGUUGGUGGGGUAGUGGCUUACCAAGGCUUUGACGGGUAGCCGGCCUGAGAGGGUGACCGGCCACACUGGGACUGAGAUACGGCCCAGACUCCUACGGGAGGCAGCAGUGGGGAAUAUUGCACAAUGGGCGGAAGCCUGAUGCAGCAACGCCGCGUGCGGGAUGACGGCCUUCGGGUUGUAAACCGCUUUCGCCUGUGACGAAGCGUGAGUGACGGUAAUGGGUAAAGAAGCACCGGCUAACUACGUG